rnacentral:ncRNA from 1 species
AGGAGCCGGAUGAAUCGAGAGAUUCAUGUCCGGUUGCGUGAGGGCCUGCGGGUGAGAUCCCCUCGGGCUACUCGAC